AGAGUUUGAUCAUGGCUCAGGAUGAACGCUGGCGGUAUGCUUAACACAUGCAAGUCGAACGGUCUCUUCGGAGAUAGUGGCGGACGGGUGAGUAACGCGUGAGAAUCUAGCUUCAGGUCGGGGACAACCACUGGAAACGGUGGCUAAUACCGGAUGUGCCGAAAGGUGAAAGAUUUAUUGCCUGAAGAUGAGCUCGCGUCUGAUUAGCUAGUUGGUGUGGUAAGAGCGCACCAAGGCGACGAUCAGUAGCUGGUCUGAGAGGAUGAUCAGCCACACUGGGACUGAGACACGGCCCAGACUCCUACGGGAGGCAGCAGUGGGGAAUUUUCCGCAAUGGGCGAAAGCCUGACGGAGCAAUACCGCGUGAGGGAGGAAGGCUCUUGGGUUGUAAACCUCUUUUCUCAGGGAAUAAAAAAAUGAAGGUACCUGAGGAAUAAGCAUCGGCUAACUCCGUGCCAGCAGCCGCGGUAAUACGGAGGAUGCAAGCGUUAUCCGGAAUGAUUGGGCGUAAAGCGUCCGCAGGUGGCACUGUAAGUCUGCUGUUAAAGAGCAAGGCUCAACCUUGUAAAGGCAGUGGAAACUACAGAGCUAGAGUACGUUCGGGGCAGAGGGAAAUCCUGGUGUAGCGGUGAAAUGCGUAGAGAUCAGGAAGAACACCGGUGGCGAAAGCGCUCUGCUAGGCCGUAACUGACACUGAGGGACGAAAGCUAGGGGAGCGAAUGGGAUUAGAUACCCCAGUAGUCCUAGCCGUAAACGAUGGAUACUAGGCGUGGCUUGUAUCGACCCGAGCCGUGCCGGAGCUAACGCGUUAAGUAUCCCGCCUGGGGAGUACGCACGCAAGUGUGAAACUCAAAUGAAUUGACGG
rnacentral:rRNA from 1 species